AACGCUGGCGGCGUGCCUCAGACAUGCAAGUCGAACGCGAAAGUCCCCUUCGGGGGGCAAGUAGAGUGGCGCACGGGUGAGUAACACGUAGGUAAUCUACCUUUGGAUUGGGAAUAACAACCGGAAACGGUUGCUAAUACCGAAUAAUGCAGCGGCACCUAAUGGUGACAGUUGUUAAAGCGGGGGAUCGCAAGACCUCGCGUCUGAAGAGGAGCCUGCGGCAGAUUAGCUAGUUGGUAAGGUAACGGCUUACCAAGGCUGUGAUCUGUAGCCGGCCUGAGAGGGCGGUCGGCCACACUGACACUGACAUACGGGUCAGACUCCUACGGGAGGCAGCAGUCGGGAAUUUUGGGCAAUGGGCGAAAGCCUGACCCAGCAACGCCGCGUGAAGGAUGAAAUCCUUCGGGAUGUAAACUUCGCAAGAACGGGAAGAAUAAGUAAGAGUUAAUAUCUCUUACGAUGACGGUACUGUUUGUAAGCUCCGGCUAACUCCGUGCCAGCAGCCGCGGUAAUACGGGGGGAGCAAGCGUUGUUCGGAUUUACUGGCGCAAAAAAUCCCAGUAGGCGGCCCCCCGCAAGUCGACUGUGAAAUCUCCGGGCUUAACCCGGAAAGUCAGCCGAUACUGCGGGGCUAGAGUGCAGAAGGGGCAACUGGAAUUCUCGGUGUAGCGGUGAAAUGCGUAGAUAUCGAGAGGAACACCUGCGGCGAAAGGCGGGUUGCUGGGCUGACACUGACGCUGAGGCGCGAAAGCUAGGGGAGCGAACGGGAUUAGAUACCCCGGUAGUCCUAGCCUUAAACGAUGAAUGCUUGGUGUCUGGGGUUUUAUAGUCCCCGGGUGCCGUCGCUAACGCUUUAAGCAUUCCGCCUGGGGAGUACGGUCGCAAGACUGAAACUCAAAGGAAUUGACGGGGACCCGCACAAGCGGUGGAGCAUGUGGUUUAAUUCGACGCAACGCGAAGAACCUUACCUGGGCUAGAA
rnacentral:rRNA from 1 species